rnacentral:rRNA from 1 species
UACAGAGGGUGCAAGCGUUAAUCGGAAUUACUGGGCGUAAAGCGCACGUAGGCGGUUUUUUAAGUCAGAUGUGAAAGCCCCGGGCUCAACCUGGGAUUUGCAUUUGAAACUGGGGAACUAGAGUGUGUGAGAGGGGGGUAGAAUUCCAAGUGUAGCGGUGAAAUGCGUAGAGAUUUGGAGGAAUACCAGUGGCGAAGGCGGCCCCCUGGCACAACACUGACGCUCAGGUGCGAAAGCGUGGGGAGCAAACAGG